CCUACGGGGGGCUGCAGUGGGGAAUAUUGCACAAUGGGGGAAACCCUGAUGCAGCGACGCCGCGUGAGUGAAGAAGCGUUUCGGCGCGUAAAGCUCUUUCAGCGGGGAAGAAACACGUUUCGCGAGAGCCGCGGACGGUACCCGACCAAGAAGCCCCGGCUAACUACGUGCCAGCAGCCGCGGUAAUAGGUAGGGGGCAAGCGUUAUCCGUAUUCACUGGUUGUAAAGGGAGCGUAGCCGGCGGGACAAGUCUGAGGUGAAAGGCCGGGGCCCAACCCCGGGACUGCUAUGGAAACUGCCAGGCUGGAGUACAGGAGAGGUAAGUGGAAUUCCGAGUGUAGCGGUGAAAUGCGUAGAUAUUAGGAGGAACACCAGUGGCGAAGGCGGCUUACUGGACUGUAACUGACGUUGAGGCUCGAAAGCGUGGGGAGCAAACAGGAUUAGAUACCCUAGUAGUC
rnacentral:rRNA from 1 species